UCUUGAAAGAGACUAUAAUUACUAGACAACCCGGCUACAAGGUUAUGCGGAGUGACUUGCAGAUCGGAAGAAGCUCUUAUAAUUUCCUUGAAAAGCACUCAAACUCAGUCAUGGUUGUUAAAAUACACAUCAUUUAUUGUGGUGCAUGAGGAUAUGAGCCCAAGUACCGCCAGUUACGGGAAAGGCUUCUCAAGCAGUUUAAAGAUGGACUGGAAAUAACGGGUGAGCCCACCCCAAACUCCACCGGUUAUUUGGAGGUCCAGAUCGUUGGUGGCAAGCUUCUUCACUCAAAGAAGAAUGGCGAUGGCUAUGUGGACUCUGAAGCCAAAUACCUCAAAAUUGUCAAAGGCAUAGAGGAGGCAAUGAAAUCUGCAGCCUAAACCACCUCAUUUGUAUGGGUCAUUGCUGGCUUGAUAGGAUGAAGUCUUGGAUGUUAUCACUGUUACCAGCGUCUCAAUGAGAAGUUAUGUCAAAAGUACAUUGGUACAAGUCAUGGCUUUGAUGGAAUUCGUGUGGAAGCAGUGACAACUACUAACACCGCAUCUUGAUUAAGUCAAUGUUGAUCAUGCAAAUGAGUUUUGUAUUUUCAGUGUGUGCUUUUACACUUUACAUUCCUGCCUAACCUUUCUACUUUCUAACCUUUUCUAAGUAUUAUAAUAGAAUAAUCUCCCAGAGUUUUUCCUAUACCUAAUGGAUUAAAGGAUAUUGUUGACAUUAAUGAUAUAGAAAUGUGCAUUUCCUGAAACAUGAGACUUUUUUCCUCUCCUAGCUGCAAAAUGAGUGCUGAUAAAAAAGAGGGAGCUCUUUCCCUAUAUUCUGAAGUGAUUAUAUUUCUUUUCUAUCUUAUUGUUCAAUCUUACACACACAUCCAUAAACACCUCAAGCAUUUAUCAUAUGAUGUGGAAGACUAUUCCUACAUGAGCAUGAAAAACGAAGUAGACAAAGAGAAUAUGUUGCUAGCAGUAUGUAAAAGUAGAUUUAAUUGAAACAGCCUACUGUUUUCAGAUCUCAUUUUCAAGUGAACAAGAUACCAAUUUGCCAAUAAAAUGUGACAUUAAUA